CAAAUCUUGGCACGUCUGCACCAAAAGUCUUUGAUGUAGAUUAUGAUAUAUUAUCAUCUAUACAUACACUUAACUUCUUCCUGAUAUACUUGUGAAGUCUGGGCGUCAUCUUAUUGGUUUUGAAAAAAAUAUAUGUUUUUGCCAUUUUUUGAUAAAAAAGGCGGCCGUCUGCUGAGGUUUUUCGGUAAAUGUCAAUCAUUAUUGAUAGUUUAUGGAAUAUUAAUUAUUGUUCAUUAAUUUUGUGGGGGAGGAGUGUAGAGCGUUACAGACAUGGAUGAACUGGUAAGAUUGUUCUCAGUUAGUAUUACUUCCUUGUUUACAAGUACUCUUUAAAUCUUUUAAUUACCAAUUAAAAUGUAAACGUAAAAUAUAUGUUAGAAACAAAACAUACUUACAACUAUUUUUUGUGUGUGUAAAGAAGCAGCCUUGAAUGAGGUUGAUAUGCCCACAUUUAUAUAUGUAUAAAUUAUAUAAAUAAAUGUAAGAUUUCUUUAUUUUGAUGGAAAAACGUAAUUUAGAUGACUAUAUAAAUUCAGCAGGUUUUGAGUGAAGAUAGUGAAGUCAUUUUGAUGCCAAUGUAUUAUCAUCAGAAGAGCAAAAAAAUUGCUUUCUAUUUGGUAUGGCACGCUCCCAUCAAGGGGCCUGGGAAUCAACAUGCAAACCAAGGCCUUCCUGUUAUUCAUGCUAGGUAGAGAUAUGGAAACAUAUCAGACAUGUAAUAAGGAAAUUAAUUGACCAAAUCACAAAUCUGCAGUCUGCACUUACAUUACCCUAUUAAAAUAAUAAAUAACCUGUAUGUAUGUAUAUAUGUAACUGGCACACUUCACAUGUUUAAACUAGUCAUAAUCAUUAAGAACACAGCAGGAGGCUUUAAUUUGUUAACAAAUAAUUCACUGUGAGGGCAUAGAGAAUAGAAUUUUGAAACUGGCAAUUAUACAACAAUGGAUAAAACUGUUUUGUUUUGCAUUAUUUUCCUUUAUGAGGAGGCAGAUAGUUUAGUGGUCAAAGACAGCUAGGAAAAUUAAAGUUAUACUGGUCCAAAUUACCAUUCCUGAGUUCAAGUGUAUCAUGUAUAUAAUCAGUAAUAUAAGUGGAAUUUAAAUGAAGAUAUAUAUAAACAUUGAAAUUGAUGUAUAAAUAUAAUAAAAUUUUAAAUACAGAGAAUUGCACUGGCAGAUCCAGAACUUUUUGUUUGAGGGGGCUCACGGACUGACCUAAGGAGGAACCUGCUCCAGUCAUGCUUCAGUGAUUCCCUAUAUAUUAUAAUUAACCAAAUUUUUCUCACAAAAAGGGGUGGGGCAAGGGUCUCCCCCUUGGAUUUGCCUAUGAAUGGUUUUAUAUCUUAAAAUUUGAAGGUUAAGAAGAGAGCAAUUGAAAAUCUGAUAUAUUUACAAUCAAUUUCAACUGUUUUAAGACUAAAAGAUUGGUAAGCUAUAUAGCUAGAAAAAGCAAAUAGUACAGAAGUUUUGCCAGUGAUUGUAUGCAUUGAUGAGCAUGCAUUUGUGUAUGACAUCUGGUGUAAUACAGAUUGUUAGGAAUGUUUAUUCAUCAUACUACAGAUGUUAGUACAAUGAUGGGAUGUCUCUGAUGCUGUGAAUGAUUGUACUGCAAUUGAUGCUGAUUAAUUGAUGACUUUUGAAUACCACUUCAUUUUGAAAUGACUUUUGGAUAUUUGUGAUGUUGCAGGUUACGAUCUCUUUAGCAUAUACCCCACAUCUUCUUUCUAUUCAUAUUUUUCAUUGGCAUGAACCAAAGAUAAGCCAGACUGUUUUGCAAUACCAGAAAUUAUUGAUGAAAUUGAAUUUUGUCCUUCAAAAACAAGAUGUUGUGUUUCAGAUAGUCCUAGGAUUGGGUAGGUGUCCUUUCUGCAAGUCUGGUAGAAUUAAAAAAAAUUAGUAGAAUUAAAGGUAUAGCAGACUUAAGUGAGAAGACCACUUCAUUAAGAUUGAGAAUGGAAAUUGGAAAUGUGUCUUUUAAAGAGAAAAUUUACAACCCUUAAAUGAUGAGUAGAAAAACAGCCCAAUUGCCCUGUAUCUAUAAUCAUAAUAUCUCUAUUUAUAGUUGCCGAAGAAGCUACAUAACUUUCAACAAGUAUUUGAUAUUACAAAAACUUUUGAGCUACCACUUAUUACAUGAAUAUUCUGCAGCUGUUUAAAGCUUUGAUUUCCUGUCAGUUGAGUCUUCAUUUUUUCAGAAAAAAUUGAGAUAACAAGUCUGGUAUUAAAUUUUGGAAUACUUUCAAAACUAAAACUAUUUGAUAAGAAAUAUUUAUUACAUAAAAUGAAAGCAUGAAAGAUUAUUUUGAUAUUUAAUGAAAGCUCUGCAAUGUUACAUGAUUCAGCUUCCAAGAUUGCAUAUCACAGUUACAGGCAGCUUUGGAAUAAUUACUUAGCUGAGAUUUAUAAUAAAAAAAGAAUUGUGCAUAUGAAUGAUUAACUGGAACUAACUUUGUUUCAUAUUGAUAUAACAUGUUGUUUGGGGAAAAAAGGGGGAGGGGAUGGGAUACUAAACACACUAAUUAGAACUUGGUGCUUCUUUUAUGUAACAGCUGAGACUAGUUUACUUGUACAAUGACCGGGUCAUUGUAUAUGAAAGAACAGGCUGAAGGACAAAUAUUCAAUGGUCUAUAGAUAUAAGAAGAUGUGGUAAAAAUAUGACAUGUAUGAGUGUCAAUGAAACAACUCUUCAUCCAAGUCUCAAUUUAUAAAACUAAACCAUUAUAAGUCAAAAGUACGGACUUAAACACGGAGCCCUGGCUCACACUGAAAACAGCAAGCUAUAAAGGGUCCCAAAAAUUACUAGUGUAAAAUCAUUCAAACAGGAAAACCAAUGGUCUCAUCUAUAUAUAAAAGAACGGGAAACUAGACUUUCAAUUUUCAACUAAAAAAAUGUGCAUGUCUAAAUGCCAUAUAUCAACAUCCUUAAAGCCAAAGGAAAUUAAGUAAAAGAAUACUUUCUAUCAGUCAGUUGACCACAUAGUUUCCCAAGUAAAGGUUAUUGUUUUCACCUGUCUAGCACCUGUUUAUUGUUUAUUUGUCCUAACUUGUAACAAGAUAAUGUCACUUGUCAUAAAUGUUGUUUUUAUGGUAUUACUGUAAUUUACUGUUCUAAUAAGAAUAAGAGUAAGAAGAAUAUUUUAUUAUUCCAAUCAAGGGUUUAAUAUAAACUGACCACUGGACGAUUUUAUUGGGUCUUAAAUUGUAAGGAAGCAAAGCAUUUUGUUUGACUUUGUUGACGUUUGAGACGUAACUCAUACUAUACAAAGAUUACUAAAUUGAAAAUUUUAUGAGAUAAAAGAAAGAGUAACCUUUACAGUCUUUGUUCAUACUCUACAAUUCCAAAAAGUAACAUGACAAAUUGACAACACAAUUAAAUGAAAAAGAAAGUGGUCUAAACACCAUCUUCAUAGUAGGCUAAUGAUGUUAACGUUCUCAGGAUUGGAGCCGAAAACAUAAACGGGUUCAAAUGAAUACUUUUUGUCCACAUAGACAUGGAAAUACCAGGUGUCUGUCUGUCCGUCUAUCUGUGCGUCCAUCCAUUUGUCUGGUCUUGUUUGGCUGUGUUCUGGUAUGAUUAUCGGUACUAUAACUGGACAUUUAGAUGCAAUGACUAAUUGUAUGCCAGGGUUAAAAGCUUUCAUUACAGAGUUCAAAUAACUUAAUCCUUUUAAGUACAAUGCUACUGUUACCAAACACUUUAAAAUUAUUUUCAUAUUUGUUUUAUUACAGUUUACUUGCCCAGAGCAGCCUGGUUAUGUGGGAUUUGCCAAUCUUCCCAACCAAGUUCAUCGUAAAUCUGUAAAGAAAGGCUUUGAGUUCACUCUUAUGGUAGUUGGUAAGUAUGGAAACUUAGUGAAUGAAAAUUUUAUAGAUAGAUAUAAGAAGAUGUGGUAUGAGUGCCAAUGAAACUGAAUGAGUGAACUCUCCAUCCAAGUCACAAUGCAAUAAGUAAAAAACAUGUUUUGGACAUUCAUAAAGUCACAAUAUGUGAAUGUUUCUGCUAUCUUUUAAUUCUUUAUUUGAGAUAAGAAACCGAAGAUUUAAUGAUAAAAAAGGAAAAUUUUAGGGAUUAGAGCACAGCAAUAUGAAUGAGUAUACUCCAAUGAGACUUCAACCCAAAGACAUAUAUUUACCAAAAGACUUAAAAAGAAUUCAAAAUCCAGUCUUCAGCAAUACUAGUGGUUUUAUAAAUUGAAAUGGACAUCUGUUUAUUAUGUAUGCAUUUCUGUCAAAAUUUUCCUCUUCUAGAAGAGAUUCUUUCUUAUUUCUGGCAACAGGCUGUACUGUUCUUUUAUUAUCCCUGAUGUGUAUGAACUUUGCUUGCUUAACAAUAUUCGGUCAAAUCAUUAGUUAUAUAAACUAGAUCUUAUGUAUAUAAAUCAUGGAGGAGUAAAAAACUAAUUUGUUUAUAUAGUAAAGUGUAAUUUAUUUGUAUUAGAGGUGUUUUACAAGCGAACAGGUGACAUGAAAUCUUUGAGCAUGGAAGGUUUGAAACAGAAUAUAUAAUUAUUUAACAUGUUGACUAAUGAUUAUAUUAUACAAACAAGAUUUAUUUCCUCUUUGUUUGUUUGGGAUAAACAUGCCCAUGUCACUAACCAAGUUUGUUUGCUACGGUCAAAGUUAAAUUACAUACAUUUAGGUUAGUAGCUUUGUUUUUGAAGUGGUACAUUGGUCCAUUGGUACAUUUGUAAACAGUAGUUUUGUCCUGCAGAUAAGUCUGUUUACAUUUAAUGUUGUUACAAUGUAAGACAUGGACUCAUAUUAAAAUGAGGACGUGUUAUGAUUAUCACUGAGACGACUAUCCACCAGAGUACAAAUGAAGUGGUAGCAAGCAAUUAUAUGCCACUGUAUGGCCUUCAAUGAGAAUACACAAGUUCUGUAUGAAAGGCACCCACAUGUCAAAAGUGAGGCAAUUCAAAUGAGAAAACUAGUGGCAUAAUUUAUAUACAAAAUCAAAUAUAUUACAGAUAUUGGAAUCUGUACAUCUAUAUAUAUAAAAGGAAGAUGUGGUAUGAUUCCCGAAGAGACAACUCCCCAAAAGAGACCAAAUGACAUAGAAGUUAACAACUACAGGUCAUUGUGCAACCUUCAAAAAUGAGCAAAGCUUAUACCUCAUAGUCUGCUAUAUAUUAGUGAGUGUGUGUCAGUGACUUUUCUUACCUGUCAGAUACCCACUUACUGUUCCCUCACCCCAUUACCUCUGAUUUGUAAGCUGGAUUAGCAGGUCAAGUGCUGUUUGCAACAUCUUUUCUAUUGAAAUUUAUUAACUUUAGUUUGACCGUUUAUUUAUUUGAAAUUUCUAAAAUGAAAUAUGUUUUAAUCUUUUUCAGGUGAAUCAGGCCUUGGAAAAUCAACACUAGUCAAUAGUUUAUUUCUUACAGAUUUAUAUCCUGAAAGACAGAUACAUUCUGCAGCAGGUAUAGAAUUACUAUACAUGUCAGUGCAAAAUAUUGUACAGAUGCACAUUUUCAAAAUUUAUAGAAUGUCUUGUCUUACAUUUUGUAAGUUGUGAGGAGUAUGAUAUAAAACAUUUUUUAAGUUUAAAGUUGUAUUAAAUAGUAAAAAUAUAAAGGAAAACACAUCAUGAGUUAUAGCAAAAAGAAUCUAAGUUCUCAUUUGAUUAAAAAAUCUGAAAUUUCAGUUGAAAAACAACCAAAAAACAAUUGAUUCGAAGAUUUAUGGGAGAACAGCUCUAGAUACACUAUUUUACUGGCUUCAGGCUGCACCUGACAACAAAUUUAUACAUCAAGCAAUAAAGCUUUGUUAAACUCAAAAACACACUUUUUGCUAUGAUUAAAAUCAUAGUAAAACAUAUUUUUGGAUGCAUUCCAGUAGUAAUUAGGGAAAUAAAUAACAAUUUUGUCAAAAUAAGAAUAAAGGUUACCAUGACAAUAUAAUAACAACAAAGAAUUUGAUGUAUGGCCCAGACAGAGAAUUGAAAUUAUUUUCCAUAAUAAUAUUUAGAAUAGCUUGGCCUGAUGUUUAUAUUUCUGUCCACUUUAUAAUGGUCAGCUGGUUAAUACAUCAAACAGAUUGAUUAGAUUGUUACUUUUUAUAAACAAAUAGUAUAUUAUUAGUAAUAAAAAUAAUCCAUAUGUUUGUACUAAGUUGACUGAUGAAUAAGAAUGAAGACAAUGUAUUCUUAUUAUAAAAUGGCACAUAGUUUGAAUUAAGAAUGAAAAAAGGUACAAAAUACAUGUACCAUAUAUUUUCUAUUUAAAAUUAACUUAGAAAUGCCUCCAAAGUUGAAAUCACAUUAAAAAGUCAAUAUAAUUAAAUACCCUGUAUAUUACAAGAUCAGUUAUCAUGAAGGCAAUCGAUAGUUAUAGUUAUAUUUCUUGCUUCAGAUAGAAAAAGAAAGAAUGAUGUAUUAUUAUGUACAAUUUAUCUAGUUAUGAUUUAUUUUAAAAAUUGUACAAUUUCAUUUAAAUCUGAUUAAAAACUGUGUCAAAAUGUUAGCUGUUAAAAUAAAAAAAUGCCCAGCUUGAAUUUAUGAAAAUCUAAUGUACAUUCACCUGAAGCAUUUUGGUUCAUCUAUCUUAGGCAAUAUUAAUUUCAAUUCAUAUCAGCUCUAGAUAAAAAUAUACACAUUGAACAUAUAUAAGUUAUAAGAAAAUGGUUUAUAACAUAUAAAAAAGAAGAUGGGGUAUGAUUGCCAAUGAGAUGCCAAUGAGACAACUCUCCACAAAUGACUAAAUGACACUCAAAUUAACUAUAGGUCAUCAUAUGGCCGUCAACAAUGAGCAAAGCCUAUACUGCAUAGUCAGCUAUAACAGGCCCUGAAAUGACAAAUGUAAAACAAUUCAAAUGAGAAAACUAAUGGCCUAAUUUAUGUAAAAAAAAUGAAUGAAAAAACAAAUAUAUAACACAUCGACAAACGACAACCACUGAAUUACAGGCUCCUGACUUUGGACAAGUACGGUACAUACAUUGAGAAAAUGGUGGGGUUAAACAUGUUAGGGGGAUCCUAACCUGGGAUAGUAGUGUAACAGUACAACAUAAGAACGACCUAUAAAAUCAGUUGAAAAAGGCGCAACUCAUCAGAUGGAUACAAAUAGAAAUACAUCGAACUAAAACACAGAGCGGACAUGGCCAGGUAUGGUUCUACACAUCUUUGACAUGACUGUAAACGACUUAUUUACAGGACAGUCACCGUUGUGUUUAUCUAUGUAUUUAGAAAACUAUUAGAAAAGCAUUAAAAAUACAUGUACAUAAAAAGUAACAAUUUGACAUUUGUUUAUUUAUAGAAAAAAUCAAGCAGACAGUAAAGAUAGAUGCAUCUACAGUAGAAAUAGAGGAACGAGGUGUGAAACUGAGGCUGACAGUUGUAGAUACACCAGGCUUUGGAGACUCAUUAAAUUCUGUAGACUGGUAGGAAACAUAUCUUAUUUGCUAUAAAUAUUGAAGUAAAAAGUUUUUAUCCAGAGUCAAGUUUGAAUAGAGAGCAUACUGAAUUUUGUCUUAUUUUUGAAUGAAUUGUAAAUGAGAUGUUCAUAAAUAAUGAUAACCGUAUCUCAUCCAAGUAGAUUUUUUUGGGGGCUAUUCUGGAACUAAUUGUAUGGGGUUUAGUAGGCAAUCCAUAUUAAUAGUAUAAAGGUGAAGGAGUUUGAAACAACUUUUCCCACAUACAUACUAAAUUCCUUAACAUUUCUUACUAAAUAUCUACCAUAUAGGUCAUAAAAAGGUCAAGUUAUGAAAAAAGCCGAUAGCUGAAAUGUAUUGGUGAGGGUUUAAAAAAAUCCACAGGCAAUUACAAAAUCAACCUUCCGAAUGCAGCUUCUACACAUUUGAUUUAAGAAAUUGAGUGCAUGUCUACAGAAAUGGUUCAUGUACAAAGUAUUCUACAAUUCCUACUUUGUUAUGUAUUCAUCAUGAAAUGUAAAUUCUACAGCUUUGGGGAAAAAAGGAAAUAAAAUUUUAAAAUUCGGCAACAAUUAUAUGCAACUUUUAUAUUUCAGUUUUAAACCAAUCAUCCAGUAUGUUGAUGAUCAGUUUGAGAGGUAUCUACAGGAUGAGAGUGGACUUAACAGACGACACAUCAUUGAUAAUAGGGUCCAUUGUUGUUUCUACUUUAUAAACCCCUCAGGUCAUGGGUGAGUAAUUUAGAUGUAUCAUUGGAUAAGCCAGGGUUAAAUUUAGGCAUCAGUUGUUUACCAAUGUUCAAAUAUCACAAAUCUAUUAAGGAGACAAGAUAAUGGGCAAAAACUGAGGGGGUAGCAUGGAAAAAAAAAGUCUGGGUGCAUUGACAGGAUAAACUAGAUGCUUCAAAUGUAAUUUAUCAUCUGCAUUAAAACAAAGAAAAAAAAACCAGCAUCAAUAUCCUUGAAAGGAAAAUGUGAUAGAAAACAGAUAUGGGGUAUCGAUCCAUGCCACAAAAUCAGUUCAUGCACAGAAAAAAAUAAAAAAAUAAACAUACAAAAGCAAAGGAUCAGCAAUUUUAUUGCUUUUCUUAAUCUCAAAGUUACAGUGAGGCUUUCAACAUAGAGCAAAAAACUCCUACCUCACUGCAAGUUUAAGACUGGCCCUAGAACCGGCUUAAGCAGAAUUCUUUGCACAAAUAAUUUGGAUGAUUAUAUAUAUUCUGUGUUAUUUGUGCAUGGACAUCUGAAUGGGGAAAUUUAAUAUCUUACCCAACUGUUCCUGAAAUUACAACAUUACUCAAGAAUAUAAAUAACUCUAAUUUUAUAAUGCAGUUUUGCAAUUUACCUUUCUGUCAAUAAUUUAUACAUACAUCAUGGUAUGAUGAUAAAUGAAAAAUCAGGAAAUCAGAUUGGUAAAUCAAAGGAAUAAAAAAUAAGAUAAAUUGAUACAUUUAUAGAGUGAUAGGUAAUGCUAUUAUGAUGAAUUGAUUAGAUAAAGUAUACGAAAGGUAGAUAAACAAGACAAGAUAAGAUGGUUCCCUACAUGUAAAAUCUAAAAUCUAUAUUAGAACAAGCUUUGUUACAAAGCAAGCAGAGUUAUUUCCCAUUUAUUAAAAAAAUUAAAGAAAAACCUUUAGGAGAAAAUGAGUUGCUUCCCUUUCUUUUACAAUGAUUUUUUUCCUGUAUAAAAUGAUACUUUUAUUAAUAAUACAUUUUUUUAGUUCUGUUCAUUUAUUAUGCUAAUAUAUUGGAAGAUGUAAACCAAUGAGACAUUCCAAAUAAAAUUUUUAAAUUAUUCAAACUAUUUCAGUGAAUAAUUUGUUUAUGCUGACUGCUUUAUUUCAUUCAUUUCAUUGACGGAAAACUAUGUUAAAAGAUUUGACAAUUUUUCUAAAUUUUCAGGUUACGCCCCCUUGACAUCACAUUCAUGAGAGCAGUCCACCAUAAAGUCAACAUUGUACCAGUAAUAGCUAAAGCUGAUACCCUCACAAACAGGAAGUUCCAAAGA
rnacentral:lncRNA from 1 species